rnacentral:misc_RNA from 1 species
AUGAAGAACGUAGCGAAAUGCGAUAAGUAAUGUGAAUUGCAGAAUUCAGUGAAUCAUCGAAUCUUUGAACGCACCUUGCACCCUUUGGCAUUCCGAAGGGUAUGCUCGUUUGAGUGUCAUUGUACUCUCACACUCUCCGAUCCUAUGGAUUCGGGGAGCGGUGGACUUGGGUGUUGCUGCCUUUCCCUGUGGCUCACCUCAAAUGCGUCAGUGCACCUCUUGGUUGGACAUAGUACGGCGUGAUAAGUGUCUUCGCCGGCACCUCGCAAGAGGGUGGCCGAUCGGGAGCUCUGCGCUUUCAAACCGUCUUCGGACAAUUUCUGACAUCUUGACCUCAAAUCGAGUAGGACUACCCGCUGAACUUAAGCAUAUCAUAAGCGGAGGA